AAAGGGUAAAUAAGCCUAGAUCUAUUAAAAAAUCCAAACAUUUUCGCUAAUUUAUGUUUUAAUCUAAAAGUUUUUGAUUUGACAAAAUGGAGAGGUAAGUGUGUUUCUUGAUGAAGGGAGCUGGCAGUGUAGAUAUGGUGGUCUAGGUAUCAAGAAAGCUGAAUGGCAGGGAAAAAGGAGAAGUUGGGCUGGGGAGAAAGUCCGAUUGUUUUAAGCGUGGCGCCGGGAACGAGUCUGGGUUCUGAGUGGAUGUUUAGUUUUUAGUUGAGGGUAGGUCUGGUUCAGAUAAGUGUUCUGUAUUUGGGUCUGCUGGGGAUGGUGUAGAGGCUAUGGUGGAUCUUUCGGUGGAAAUGAGCGGGGCUUGUAAUGGUAUUCUCUGAAGCGGUGGGUGCGGUUGUUUGGGGAUGUGUUAUUGGCA
rnacentral:misc_RNA from 1 species